rnacentral:rRNA from 1 species
GACGAACGCUGGCGGCGUGCUUAACACAUGCAAGUCGAACGCUGAAGCUCAGCUUGCUGGGUGGAUGAGUGGCGAACGGGUGAGUAACACGUGAGUAACCUGCCCUCUUCUUUGGGAUAACGCCCGGAAACGGGUGCUAAUACUGGAUAUUCACUGAUUCUCGCAUGGGGGUUGGUGGAAAGGUUUUUUCUGGUGGGGGAUGGGCUCGCGGCCUAUCAGCUUGUUGGUGGGUGGAUGGCCUACCAAGUCUUUGACGGGUAGCCGGCCUGAGAGGGUGACCGGUCACAUUGGGACUGAGAUACGGCCCAGACGCCUACGGGAGGCAGCAGUGGGGAAUAGUGCACAAUGGGCGAAAGCCUGAUGCAGCGACGCCGCGUGAGGGAUGGAGGCCUUCGGGUUGUAAACCUCUUUCGCUCAUGGUCAAGCCGCAGCUUUGGGUUGUGGUGAGGGUAGUGGGUAAAGAAGCGCCGGCUAACUACGUG